rnacentral:rRNA from 1 species
GAGUUUGAUCCUGGCCCAGGAUGAACGCUGGCGGCGUGCUUAACACAUGCAAGUCGAACGAAGCACUUUACCUUGAUUCCUUCGGGUUGAUUGGUACUGUGACUGAGUGGCGGACGGGUGAGUAACGCGUGGGUAACCUGCCCCAUACAGGGGGAUAACAGAUAGAAAUGUCUGCUAAUACCGCAUAAGACCACAGCGCCGCAUGGCGCAGGGGUAAAAACUCCGGUGGUAUGGGAUGGACCCGCGUCUGAUUAGCUAGUUGGUGGGGUAAAGGCCCACCAAGGCGACGAUCAGUAGCCGACCUGAGAGGGUGACCGGCCACAUUGGGACUGAGACACGGCCCAAACUCCUACGGGAGGCAGCAGUGGGGAAUAUUGCACAAUGGGGGAAACCCUGAUGCAGCAACGCCGCGUGAGUGAAGAAGUAUUUCGGUAUGUAAAGCUCUAUCAGCAGGGAAGAAGAAAGACGGUACCAGACUAAGAAGCCCCGGCUAACUACGUGCCAGCAGCCGCGGUAAUACGUAGGGGGCAAGCGUUAUCCGGAUUUACUGGGUGUAAAGGGAGCGUAGACGGCUGUGCAAGUCUGAAGUGAAAGCCCGU